AUUGAACGCUGGCGGCAUGCCUUACACAUGCAAGUCGAACGGCAGCACGGGAGCAAUCCUGGUGGCGAGUGGCGAACGGGUGAGUAAUAUAUCGGAACGUGCCCAGUCAUGGGGGAUAACGUAGCGAAAGCUACGCUAAUACCGCAUACGAUCUAUGGAUGAAAGCGGGGGAUCGCAAGACCUCGCGCGAUUGGAGCGGCCGAUAUCAGAUUAGGUAGUUGGUGGGGUAAAAGCCUACCAAGCCUUCGAUCUGUAGCUGGUCUGAGAGGACGACCAGCCACACUGGAACUGAGACACGGUCCAGACUCCUACGGGAGGCAGCAGUGGGGAAUUUUGGACAAUGGGCGCAAGCCUGAUCCAGCAAUGCCGCGUGCAGGAUGAAGGCCU
rnacentral:rRNA from 1 species